AUUGAACGCUGGCGGCAUGCUUUACACAUGCAAGUCGAACGGCAGCGCGGGCUUCGGCCUGGCGGCGAGUGGCGAACGGGUGAGUAAUGCAUCGGAACGUGCCCAGUAGUGGGGGAUAGCCCGGCGAAAGCCGGAUUAAUACCGCAUACGACCUGAGGGUGAAAGCGGGGGACCGAAAGACCUCGCGCUAUUGGAGCGGCCGAUGUCGGAUUAGCUAGUUGGUGGGGUAAAGGCUUACCAAGGCGACGAUCCGUAGCUGGUCUGAGAGGACGACCAGCCACACUGGGACUGAGACACGGCCCAGACUCCUACGGGAGGCAGCAGUGGGGAAUUUUGGACAAUGGGGGCAACCCUGAUCCAGCCAUGCCGCGUGCGGGAAGAAGGCCUUCGGGUUGUAAACCGCUUUUGUUCGGGAAGAAAUCCUCUGGGCUAAUACCCCGGGGGGAUGACGGUACCGGAAGAAUAAGCACCGGCUAACUACGUG
rnacentral:rRNA from 1 species